CGGACGGGUGAGUAAUGCUUGGGAAUCUGGCUUAUGGAGGGGGAUAACUACGGGAAACUGUAGCUAAUACCGCGUAGUAUCGAAAGAUGAAAGUGUGGGACCGCAAGGCCACAUGCCAUGAGAUGAGCCCAAGUGGGAUUAGGUAAUUGGUUAGGUAAAGGCUGACCAAGCCGACGAUCUCUAGCUGGUCUGAGAGGAUGACCAGCCACACUGGAACUGAGACACGGUCCAGACUCCUACGGGAGGCAGCAGUGGGGAAUAUUGCACAAUGGGGGAAACCCUGAUGCAGCCAUGCCGCGUGAAUGAAGAAGGCCUUCGGGUUGUAAAGUUCUUUCGGUGAUGAGGAAGGUGCUUGCUUUAAUAGGACAAGCAAUUGACGUUAGUCACAGAAGAAGCACCGGCUAACUCCGUGCCAGCAGCCGCGGUAAUACGGAGGGUGCGAGCGUUAAUCGGAAUAACUGGGCGUAAAGGGCACGCAGGCGGUGACUUAAGUGAGAUGUGAAAGCCCCGAGCUUAACUUGGGAAUUGCAUUUCAUACUGGGUCGCUAGAGUACUUUAGGGAGGGGUAGAAUUCCACGUGUAGCGGUGAAAUGCGUAGAGAUGUGGAGGAAUACCGAAGGCGAAGGCAGCCCCUUAGGAAUGUACUGACGCUCAUGUGCGAAAGCGUGGGGAGCAAACAGGAUUAGAUACCCUGGUAGUCCACGCUGUAAACGCUGUCGAUUUGGGGAUGGGCUUAGAGCUUGGUGCCCGUAGCUAACGUGAUAAAUCGACCGCCUGGGGAGUACG
rnacentral:rRNA from 1 species